rnacentral:lncRNA from 1 species
AUACACGCCCUCUCUCUUUCUCUCUAGUGUUUCUCUCUACUCUCUCCACACAGAAUAGCAUAAGCUCAGCUUGCUAUUUAUACACGAAUUCAAAACAAGAAAAUUCAACCUUCAAGUGUGAAGGCGGCUGGCGGCUGUGGCGGCAAACAGCUAGUGGCUGGCGGCUGGCGGCUGGCCGGUUGGUGGCUGGGCGGUGACAGCUGGUGGCUGCCUUCCUUGACCUUCUGGAUGGAUUGAGUUUAAUACAACAAAUCUCCCCUUUAAACUCAAUCGAGGGAUGUCAUGCCAAGCAUGAACUUCAUUCUGAUAAAUGUUUCCCUCUUCAAUGGCUUUGUAUUUUUGCACUUUUUCUUUUGCAUUCUUCUUUGUCUUAUAGAUCCAUUUGACACCUAUUGCUUUCUUGCUUUCUGGUGGAUAAGUCAGCUUCCAGGUAUCAUUCUUCUCAAUGGCAUGCAUUUCUUCAUCCAUUGCUUCUAUCUUCUCUUUUGUGAUAGCUUUGUUGAAGCUAAGUGGAUCAUUAUCUGCAAAGAAACAAAAUAGAGUUGUAUCUUCGAUGACUUGCGUGGCAUCGUACAACUCGUCAAGAUUUCUCAUCCUUCUUGGUCCUUCUGACGAGGAUGCUGCUGCUGGUGUUGAUGAUGAUGCUCCUGGUGUGUUCCUCCUGUUGAAUACAGGGAAUCUGUGUACCGGACUUUGUGGUUCAGCUGCUGGUAUAAUCACCGGACUUUGUGGUUCAGCUACUGGCACAAUCGGUUCUUCGACAAGUACUGUUGGUACUUCUUCACCUUCAAGGAUCAAAUCAAUGUUGAUCCAUCUGACUGCUUCUUUAUCAUUAGUCCAUUCCCAAGAUUUAUCUUCUUCAAAGAUAACAUCUCUACUCAUAAUCACCUUCUUCGUGAUGGGAUUAUACAGCUUGUAUCCCAUCCUUCUCUCACCAUAUCCCACAAAGAUGCAUCUCUCGCUUUUAUCAUCGAGUUUUCUCCUUCUUGCAUCUGGGAUCUUUGCAUAUGCCACACAACCAAAGACUCGUAGAUGAGUAACACUUGGUUUGUGACCACUCCAUGCUUCUUCUGGAGUGACUCCUUGCAAACUUCUGGUUGGGCAGCGAUUCAGUAGAUACACUGCACAUGAUACAGCUUCAGCCCAGUAUUGCUUGGGCAACUUCUUUGCUUUGAGCAGACUUCUUGCCAUGUCAAGAAUCGUGCGAUUCUUUCUUUCAGCUACACCAUUCAGCUGUGGUGUAUAAGCUGGUGUUGUCUGAUGUCUGAUGCCUUGUUGUGUACAAUAGGCUUCAAAGUCAUUUGCUGUAUAUUCUCCACCUUGAUCAGAUCUCACUGUUCUGAUCAUGUAGCCACUUUUCUUCUCCACAAUUGCUUUAAAAUCUUUAAAACAAUUGAAUACUUCUGACUUCCUCUUCAGAAAGUAUAUCCACGUCUUUCUACUAAAAUCAUCAAUAAAAGUGAGGAAGUACCUAUUCUGUCCAGUCGACAUAGGCGUAAUUGGGCCACACACAUCUGUGUGUACUAACUCUAGUGGCCUCUUUGCUCUCCAGUUGACUUCUUUGGCAAAACUGGAUCUGUGAUGUUUGCUGAGGACACAACUCUCACAGACUUCAUCUGGAUGAUCAAUGUGAGGCAAACCUCUGACCAUCUUCUUGCUUGCUAGCAUCUUCAAGCUCGUGAAAUUCAGAUGUCCAAGCCUCAGGUGCCAAAGCCAUUCUUCACUGUUGGUGAUGGCACUCAAACACCUUGCUGCAUCAUACUGGAUGUUCAAAGGAAACAUCCUAUUCUUGGACAUUUUCACAUAGGCCAUUAAUCUCCAAUUGUUGUCUCUAAUUGUCAGAUGACAAUUCUUCGAGUAAAAAGUAUAUCCUCUCUCCAAAAGUUGACCUAAGCUGAUCAGGUUCUGCUUUAUGGCUGGGACAUAAUAGACAUUGGCGAUGUAGCUGGAAUCGCCGUUCUUCAACUUGAUUGGGAUGCUGCCUUUACCUUUGAACGGAACCUUUGUGGUAUCUCCAAAAGUAACUAGACCUUGCUUGGUCUCAUCUAGAUCACUAAAUAACUCUCGGUAGCCACACAUGUGAUUGCUGGCUCCAGUAUCUAGAUACCAUAUAUUUUCCUGUUUCUCGCCAAGUUCUUGUUGGACAAGAAAUGCAGCUUCUAUGUCAUCCUUCUCUGCAUAGUUGGCUUGCUCACGUAUCUCCAACGGAGCUUUCCUUCUGCAUUCAGUGCUAUAGUGCCCAAAUUGAUUGCAACUAUAACAUUGGAUAUUCCUCUUGUCACGGUUAUUGUAACCGCCUCCUCUUCCUCUAGGAGUGAAUGCUUGCUGUCCUCUACCUCCUCUGGUGGUGUUUCUACCACCUCUUCCUCUAAAGCUUGUAUUCCAAGAACCUCUUCCUUGGAAUCUCUGGAAUCCUCCUCUGGAUUGUUGACUUCCUGCUUGAGUGGUAUAUCCACUUGUUGAAGUCUCCCCUUGCUCAUAUCUCUCUUUGAGCGACAACUUUGCUUGUAAGGCAUGCUCGAUGGCCUUAUCUCCAUUUCUCUUUACAAUCUUCUGCUCAUGAGCUUGCAAAGAACUCAUAAGCUCAUCACUAAAUAUCUUCUGCAUUCAUAAGCUCUGAUACCAAUUGUUGGUGGGAGAAACCACUGGUGGUGGCUUUGAAACACUCGGAGGGGAUAAAACACACUGUUUUAUUUCAAUAACAAAAGCUUACAAUUAAUUAACACAAAAAGCUUAACACAAUACACGCCCUCUCUCUUUCUCUCUAGUGUUUCUCUCUACUCUCUCCACACAGAAUAGCAUAAGCUCAGCUUGCUAUUUAUACACGAAUUCAAAACAAGAAAAUUCAACCUUCAAGUGUGAAGGCGGCUGGCGGCUGUGGCGGCAAACAGCUGGUGGCUGGCGGCUGGCGGCUGGCCGGUUGGUGGCUGGGCGGUGACAGCUGGUGGCUGCCUUCCUUGACC